rnacentral:rRNA from 1 species
CCUACGGGGGGCAGCAGUAGGGAAUCUUCCACAAUGGGCGAAAGCCUGAUGGAGCAACGCCGCGUGGGUGAAGAAGGUCUUCGGAUCGUAAAACCCUGUUGUUAGAGAAGAAAGUGCGUGAGAGAAACUGUUCACGUUUCGACGGUAUCUAACCAGAAAGCCACGGCUAACUACGUGCCAGCAGCCGCGGUAAUACGGAGGGGGCAAGCGUUAUCCGGAUUUACUGGGCGUAAAGGGAACGCAGGCGGUCUGUUAAGUUUGAUGUGAAAGCCUUCGGCUUAACCUGGGAACUGCAUUGGAAACUG